rnacentral:rRNA from 1 species
AACGAACGCUGGCGGCGUGCUUAACACAUGCAAGUCGAACGAGAAAGUCCCUUCGGGGGCGAGUAGAGUGGCGCACGGGUGAGUAAUGCAUAAGAACGUGCCUAUCGGAGUGGAAUAACCACGGGAAACUGUGGCUAAUACCGCAUAAUGUCGCAAGACCAAAGGGGGCCUCUUCCUGAAAGCUUCCGCCGAUAGAUCGGCUUAUGUCCCAUUAGCUUGUUGGUAGGGUAACGGCCUACCAAGGCAACGAUGGGUAGCUGGUCUGAGAGGAUGAUCAGCCACACUGGAACUGAGACACGGUCCAG